rnacentral:rRNA from 1 species
UACAGAGGGUGCAAGCGUUGUUCGGAAUUAUUGGGCGUAAAGCGCGUGUAGGCGGCUUUGCAAGUCGGGUGUGAAAGCCCCUCAGCUCAACUGAGGAAGUGCGCCCGAAACUGCAGAGCUUGAGUGCCGGAGAGGGUGGCGGAAUUCCCCAAGUAGAGGUGAAAUUCGUAGAUAUGGGGGAGGAACACCGGUGGCGAAGGCGGCCACCUG